GACCCUGUUGCGCACUGGAUAGCGCGUUGGACUUCUAAUCCAAAGGUGUAGUGUUCGAAUCCUAUUUGGGAUGGCCU